CCUACGGGUGGCAGCAGUGAGGAAUAUUGGUCAAUGGCCGCGAGCCUGAACCAGCCAAGUAGCGUGAAGGAUGACUGCUCUAUGGGUUGUAAACUUCUUUUAUAAAGGAAUAAAGUUAGGCACGUGUGGCUAUUUGCAUGUACUUUAUGAAUAAGGAUCGGCUAACUCCGUGCCAGCAGCCGCGGUAAUACGGAGGAUCCGAGCGUUAUCCGGAUUUAUUGGGUUUAAAGGGAGCGUAGAUGGGUUGUUAAGUCAGUUGUGAAAGUUUGCGGCUCAACCGUAAAAUUGCAAUUGAUACUGGCAGUCUUGAGUACAGUUGAGGUAGGCGGAAUGCGUGGUGUAGCGGUGAAAUGCUUAGAUAUCACGAAGAACUCCGAUUGCGAAGGCAGCUUACUAAGCCACCACUGACAUUGAUGCACGAAAGUGUGGGUAUCAAACAGGAUUAGAUACCCGUGUAGUC
rnacentral:rRNA from 1 species